rnacentral:lncRNA from 1 species
GAACUAGAAAAAAAAUCGAGAAAGAGAAGGAAGAAAAAGGGAAAGGAAAGGAAAAAAUAAAUAAAUAAAAAGGAGAUGCCGGUCGAUUACCUGUAGGGAGGAGAUACACUUCAAGUAUUGAGAUCCUCAUUCUUCUAAAAUCUCAAGUGGGUAAGUUUUGCACAAAUAUAAAUUCCUUAUUUUGGUUCAAUAUGUGGAAAUAAGUAAAAUUUCUUGAUGGUUUGGUGUGAAUAACUAUUUUUGGAAGGUUUUUUUUUUUUUUUAGUUAUGUGAAUCAAAGUUAUACUAGUUUUUGUGUUUGAGCUUUGUGGGUGAAAAUAUUCAGCAAGUAAUUAGGUGUAAGAUUAAAAGUUAAAUAAAGGAACCAAUUCAAGUGAGGAAUGAUGCAAACGGAUUACGGUUUUGGUAUAUGUACAUUGGUUGAAAUCAUUGAAGUGGGACUUACCGACUUAUAUAGUUGUAUAUAAGUGUGAAAGUAGUAAAAUGAUGAAAGGAAUGAGAUUAUAUAAAGUUGGUAUAGCUAUGUGCAUAUUAAUAAUAUUAAUUGGAAUUGUGAAGUUGGAAGUAAGGAAGAAAUACAACUACAUGAUUUGAGGUUUAAAUUCUCCAUUAUUUAAGAAAAUUUAGGCUAUUUUCGAGCAAGGUAUUGCACUAGUGCUACUUCUGAAAUUCUGCCUAGAAAAGUGAUAUUUCUAUCAAUGGCUUGAUGCCAAAUUUCAAUAUACAGAAAUUGGUUCCAGAUUUCUAUAUUAUGGAAUUUUAGUACUUGGAUUUCCAGAAUUUUAAACGUUUGAAUGAAUUUAUAUGAUAAAUAUUGAAGUCUAUGUAUUGGACUAACUAUGUAUAAGGUUUGUAUUGUAUAUGUAUAAGGUAGUAAUUUUAAGAAAUUAUAGUGAUUUAAUGGAUUUGAUGAUGUUUGGUGAUUUGUUAGUAAAUAAUUGAGGAGAUGAAAAGUUAAAGAAAUAGAGAGGCAAGAACAAAUAUAGAAGUUAGGGGAAUUACGUGGUAGAUUUGUAGUAGUUUAAUUGUUAGAUUUUAAUUUGAGUUAUUAUAUCGUUAUUUUAGGUAGUGGUGUGAAAGUUUGGAAAUACCCGUCAAUUUAGUCGGAUUGCUAUCCAUACAUACAUUUGUGAGUGGAAAAACUUAUAUAUUUUCAAAUAGUAAUAAGGUACUUAUACUAUUACAUUACGUGUGAUUAUGUGAAUUAUUUGGUUAAUUAAAUAAUUAAUAUGGAAAGAUUCUUUCACUAUGAUAUAUGUGGAUUUUAAAGUUUGGAUAUGGAUUAUUUGUGAGUUGGAAUGUGAGACAUAUGUGCUAUUAAGAUCGAUCAUAAAAGUACUCAUGAUUAUAUAUUUCUUCUAAUUCAUAGAAGGGCCUUAGCCGUGUUCUAUCCUACACGGAGGGGUCUUAACCUGACAUUGAUCUUAAUCGUGUACACAUAGUUCACAGAGGGGCAUUGAUCAUAUUCUAGAAUUGAUUACCAGAGGUCUUAAGACCUGCUUUCGUUCAUGAAGGGGGCCAAAGGCCCUUGGCGAAAGUGUUUGGCUCGAGGGGCGGUUUUCAGAUUUUAGUCAAAGGGUAGAUUUUUGGUGGAUUACAUGUGAUUUGAUGAGAUGAUGGUAUAGAUAUCAGCUGAUGACUAUAUCGUGAUUAUGAGAUGAUAUUUACAGUGUUAUAAGAAUGUCUUACUUUUUGGCUAUAUUUGUAAGAGUCUAUUAUGUGAAUAUUAAACGAUAUGAACUUGAUGUUUGGUAAAAAUGUUUAAAGGAGAAAGUAUAAUUAUUUUUUAACUCUUCCACUCACUAAACUAUCAACUCAUAUUUUUUCUAAAAUUAUUCUUACAGGUAGUAUUGUAUUAGUCCUUGAUGGCUUGAAGAGCCUAGUGAUUUGAGAGUUGGAGCCACACGACAUAUUAAAUGACAUGAGUCAAUUUGAUAAAACAUGAAGUAAUAAUUGUGGGCCCAUUGCAAUAUUUAUUUAUUUAAAUAUUUGAUUUUGUCGCAUAUUUUGUGGUAACUUAUAGUCAACAUUGGUGAUGGAUUUGACAUCUAGUCAGCAUCUACCAUCGACGCACGUCACGUUUCGGGUCCAUAGGGUGAUUCGGGACGGGUAGUAUCAUAUUUUUAAUAUGAUGCAGUGAUUUUAAGUAUGUGGGCCGAAAAAUAUAUGUAAACCCUAAUUAGAGUUUAAGUCAUAAUGGGACAGUUUAAUAAUUUUCUAUAUAAAUGCUAGGUCCCCUCUCCUUUCCAUAUUGUUUUAUUAGCUUGCCCCACUUACGACUAAUACUUUGUGAGGAGUAAGGAAGGGAAGAUCUAGCAGUUAUUAUUCAUAUAAACGAUGGCUUUCGCAGGUAUGAAUUCGAA